GUUAUCUUGACAAACGGCUUUAUGUUUACAUUCGGUAUUUGUGAAAUUCUGUGUUUUUUCUUUAGUUUUUGGUUGAAAAAGGAAAAAGACAAAACAACUUGGCAUAUCCAACCACGACUCAGAUUGUAUAACAUUCUUCCAAAUGAUACAAGGAUGGUUGAAGGCUUUGACUCUUUUAAAUGGAAAACCAAAAACUGUAUAUUGUUAAAAGAUGGAGAAAUUUUUAAUAAAUUUUAAAUUUAUCCAAUAAAUACUUUAUGUUCCAAACCGCCUAUAAAAUAUGAGCGUACAUGUAUUACUGUUGUACAAUGUACUGAUGAACUUGACAUAAACUUUCUAACCCA